GACCUACGGGACGCAGCAGUGGGGGAUAUUGCACAAUGGGGGGAACCCUGAUGCAGCGACGCCGCGUGGGUGAAGGAGUGCUUCGGCAUGUAAAGCCCUAUCGGCAGGGAAGAAGCAAGACGGUACCUGACUAAGAAGCCCCGGCUAACUACGUGCCAGCAGCCGCGGUAAUACGUAGGGGGCGAGCGUUAUCCGGAUUCACUGGGUGUAAAGGGAACGCAGGCGGGCUUUUAAGUCU
rnacentral:rRNA from 1 species